rnacentral:rRNA from 1 species
AACGAACGCUGGCGGCAGGCCUAACACAUGCAAGUCGAGCGCCCUUUCGGGGGAGCGGCGGACGGGUGAGUAACGCGUGGGAAUAUGCCCUUCUCUACGGAAUAGCCUCGGGAAACUGAGAGUAAUACCGUAUACGCCCUGUGGGGGAAAGAUUUAUCGGGGAAGGAUUAGCCCGCGUUGGAUUAGGUAGUUGGUAGGGUAAUGGCCUACCAAGCCGACGAUCCAUAGCUGGUUUGAGAGGAUGAUCAGCCACACUGGGACUGAGACACGGCCCAGACUCCUACGGGAAGCAGCAGUGGGGAAUCUUAGACAAUGGGGGCAACCCUGAUCUAGCCAUGCCGCGUGAGUGAUGAAGGCCUUAGGGUUGUAAAGCUCUUUCAGCUGGGAAGAUAAUGACGGUACCAGCAGAAGAAGCCCCGGCUAACUCCGUG